AUCUUGACGACAACUUUGGAGUUCUUUUGUAAAUCAAAGAAGAGAUUUGAUAGCAAAUUGGAUAAGAUUUCUAUAAGAAUUAAUUUUGGAAAAUUUGGAGUUGUUAUCAUUUUGUAAGAGCUUUACAAAGUCAAGAUUAUUUUCAGAUGACUUGGAUUUUGUGAAAUAAAAUAGGAUUGAUGUUUCUAAUGUUUUCAAGAGUUUUGUAAUGGAUAUACAUGUAAAAUUUUGUAGAUUAAUGUUUAUAGUUGAGCUUAAUAUGUAUUGUAAAUCUUAGCUCGAUCUAAAGGUUUAAUUGAGGGUUAUUGAGGUUUGAAUGAGUCAAGAUCUGAGAAAGUAGAAUUUUAGGUCCAAUGAAGAUUUUUAAGAUUUCUUACAAUCUAUUAAUUGGAUUGAAGUGAAAUUUAUGUGAAAAGAUAUAAGACUUGUUUUUUUAUUAAUAUGAGAAUUUUGAGAUCAAUGAAAUAGUGAAAAAAAGAGAUAUUGGCUUUAAGAGAUUGACAUCAAGGUUGGAGAAGGAGGCUGGCCAAUAUCCA
rnacentral:lncRNA from 1 species